AGAGUUUGAUCCUGGCUCAGAACGAACGCUGGCGGCGUGCCUAACACAUGCAAGUCGAACGUGAUUGGAAGCUUGCUUCCAUGAAAGUGGCGCACGGGUGAGUAACGCGUAGAUAAUCUACCUGAUGAUCCGGGAUAACACUUCGAAAGGGGUGCUAAUACCUGAUAAGCCCACGGGGUCUUCGGACUCUGCGGGAAAAGGGGGGGACCUUCGGGCCUUCCGUCAUCAGAUGAGUCUGCGUACCAUUAGCUAGUUGGUAGGGUAAAGGCCUACCAAGGCGACGAUGGUUAGCUGGUCUGAGAGGAUGAUCAGCCACACUGGAACUGAGACACGGUCCAGACUCCUACGGGAGGCAGCAGUGGGGAAUUUUGCGCAAUGGGGGAAACCCUGACGCAGCAACGCCGCGUGAGUGAUGAAGGCCCUUGGGUCGUAAAGCUCUGACAGAGGGAAAGAAGUGUAGAGUGGCUAAUAUCCACAUUACUUGACGGUACCCUCAAAGGAAGCACCGGCUAACUCCGUGCCAGCAGCCGCGGUAAUACGUAGGGUGCAAGCGUUGUCCGGAAUUAUUGGGCGUAAAGAGCUCGUAGGCGGCUUGUCGCGUCUGCUGUGAAAACCCGAGGCUCAACCUCGGGCUUGCAGUGGGUACGGGCAGGCUAGAGUGCGGUAGGGGAGAUUGGAAUUCCUGGUGUAGCGGUGGAAUGCGCAGAUAUCAGGAGGAACACCAAUGGCGAAGGCAGAUCUCUGGGCCGUAACUGACGCUGAGGAGCGAAAGCAUGGGGAGCGAACAGGAUUAGAUACCCUGGUAGUCC
rnacentral:rRNA from 1 species